rnacentral:rRNA from 1 species
GAUGAACGCUAGCGGGAGGCCUAACACAUGCAAGCCGAGCGGUAUUUGUCUCUCGGGACAGAGAGAGCGGCGUACGGGUGCGGAACACGUGUGCAACCUGCCUUUAUCUGGGGGAUAGCCUUUCGAAAGGAAGAUUAAUACCCCAUAAUAUAAUGAAUGGCAUCAUUUAUUAUUGAAAACUCCGGUGGAUAGAGAUGGGCACGCGCAAGAUUAGAUAGUUGGUGAGGUAACGGCUCACCAAGUCGAUGAUCUUUAGGGGGCCUGAGAGGGUGAUCCCCCACACUGGUACUGAGACACGGACCAGACUCCUACGGGAGGCAGCAGUGAGGAAUAUUGGACAAUGGGUUAGCGCCUGAUCCAGCCAUCCCGCGUGAAGGACGACGGCCCUAUGGGUUGUAAACUUCUUUUGUACAGGGAUAAACCUACUCUCGUGAGAGUAGCUGAAGGUACUGUACGAAUAAGCACCGGCUAACUCCGUGCCAGCCGCCGCGGUAA